UUCUACUUAUAUAUUUUAUUAAAGUUUAUAUUAUUUUGUUUCUAAUUACUUAUUUAUUUUAUUUGUUAUUUUUCAUGCACCAUUUUUCUUGCAUUUACUGAUUAUUUUGAGCUAUAAGACCCUAAAAUUGAAAAGCAUUUCAAAUGAACUCUGAAAAGGUUGAAAGUUGGCAUGGUAUCAUCAUUUCAUCCACAUAGCAUGUGCAAGAAAGUUGAGAGGGUUACGGCAAAAACUGGAUGCACUUCGUGUACAAAACGGACAAUCUCUUUCGAAGUAUCAGGAUUUCAUACGGAAACUCGUCUGUUACAAAGGGAUUUCAUUUUUUUUACUUAUUUGAACUCCUGACUUUUUGUGUGUUCAAAAUGCACCAUUCAAAGCCACAUCAUCAAUUUUCAACCCUUUCUGACUUCAUUUGUUAUUUUUCAUGCAUUUACUGAUUAUUUUGAGCUAUAAGACCCUAAAAUUGAAAAGCAUUUCAAAUGAACUCUGAAAAGGUUGAAAGUUGGCAUGGUAUCAUCAUUUCAUCCACAUAGCAUGUGCAAGAAAGUUGAGAGGGUUACGG
rnacentral:lncRNA from 1 species